rnacentral:rRNA from 1 species
UUUGGAACGCGAAGACCCUUACCUGGGUUUGACAUGCACUGGACGCGUCUAGAGAUAGGGUUUUCCCUUGUGGCCUGUGUGCAGGUGGUGCAUGGCUGUCGUCAGCUCGUGUCGUGAGAUGUUGGGUUAAGUCCCGCAACGAGCGCAACCCUUGUCUCAUGUUGCCAGCGGGUAAUGCCGGGGACUCGUGAGAGACUGCCGGGGUCAACUCGGAGGAAGGUGGGGAUGACGUCAAGUCAUCAUGCCCCUUAUGUCCAGGGCUUCACACAUGCUACAAUGGCCGGUACAAAGGGCUGCGAUGCCGUAAGGUUAAGCGAAUCCUUUUAAAGCCGGUCUCAGUUCGGAUUGGGGUCUGCAACUCGACCCCAUGAAGUCGGAGUCGCUAGUAAUCGCAGAUCAGCAACGCUGCGGUGAAUACGUUCCCGGGUCUUGUACACACACACAA